GGGGGUUUGACGGGUCUGGGUUGGCUUGGAUUUGAUUGUAAAACGGAGCAGCUAAAUUAUUAAGUAGUCAGAAAUAGACUUAUUUCAGAAAUAACAUCUUAUUCCUAUUCCCAUGACGAGGAGAGUCCAAAAGUAGCUAAAAAAGGAAGACUGAGAUACGUAAGGCUCCACGCAGCCAGCCCUCCAGAAAGCCUCCCAAAGAACCGUCUGGAACCACACGCAGAGUAAACAACUUACCCACUACCUGUUAAGUGUGUGAAGCACUGGGCUCUACGGGCGUUAACAACCUAGUGAUGAAGAACCUACAGCUCCUACACCGCGUGCGUGCCUCCAGGGGGAGAGGCAGCAAACCCUGGCCAAGCAGAAGACUUGAAGCAAAUAGGAAAAGUAUGAAUAAUUGGCAAGUGUGGGAGCAGUCACGUGGGAGUUUGGUACAGAAGAAUCUCGGCUCUGCUUCGAUCUGGCCGUGUGACCUUGAACAAGUCAUUUCACCGCCUUGUGCCUCAGUUUUCUUAUCUGCACAAUGGAAUCAUAACAGCACCAAUUUAUUAGGGCAACUGUAAGGGUUACGGGAGUUAAUGGAUGUGAAGAGCUGUGUGAAGUGGCAUAUGUAUGACUUCCCCGAGCCUUGGUACAACAAAACGAGAGGAGGAGCGCCUGGGUGGCUCAGUCGGUGGAGCGUCCGACUUGGACUCAGGUCAUGAUCUCGAGGUUCGCGAGUUCGAGCCCUGCAUCGGGCUCUGUGCUGACAGCUUGGAGCCUGGAACCUGCUUCAGAUUCUGUCUCCCUCUCUCUCUGCCCCUCCCCCACUCAUGCCCUGUCUGUCUCUCUCUCUCUCUCUCUCUCUC